rnacentral:rRNA from 1 species
UAUUGGACAAUGGGGGCAAUCCUGAUCCAGCCAUGCCGCGUGUGUGAUGAAGGCCCUUUGGCUGUAAAGCACUUUAAGCGGGGCGGAGAGGCUAAUGGUUAAUACCCAUUAGAUUAGACGUUACCUGCAGAAUAAGCACCGGCUAACUCUGUGCCAGCAGCCGCGGUAAUACAGAGGGUGCGAGCGUUAAUCGGAAUUACUGGGCGUAAAGCGAGUGUAGGUGGCUCAUCAAGUCACAUGUGAAAUCCCCGGGCUUAACCUGGGAACUGCAUGUGAUACUGGUGGUGCUAGAAUAUGUGAGAGGGAAGUAGAAUUCCAGGUGUAGCGGUGAAAUGCGUAGAGAUCUGGAGGAAUACCGAUGGCGAAGGCAGCUUCCUGGCAUAAUAUUGACACUGAGAUUCGAAAGCGUGGGUAGCAAACAGG